rnacentral:rRNA from 1 species
GAUGAACGCUGGCGGCGUGCCUAAUACAUGCAAGUCGAGCGAACAGACGAGGAGCUUGCUCCUCUGACGUUAGCGGCGGACGGGUGAGUAACACGUGGAUAACCUACCUAUAAGACUGGGAUAACUUCGGGAAACCGGAGCUAAUACCGGAUAAUAUAUUGAACCGCAUGGUUCAAUAGUGAAAGACGGUUUUGCUGUCACUUAUAGAUGGAUCCGCGCCGCAUUAGCUAGUUGGUAAGGUAACGGCUUACCAAGGCGACGAUGCGUAGCCGACCUGAGAGGGUGAUCGGCCACACUGGAACUGAGACACGGUCCAGACUCCUACGGGAGGCAGCAGUAGGGAAUCUUCCGCAAUGGGCGAAAGCUUGACGGAGCAACGCCGCGUGAGUGAUGAAGGUCUUCGGAUCGUAAAACUCUGUUAUUAGGAAAGAACAAAUGUGUAAGUAACUAUGCACGUCUUGACGGUACCUAAUCAGAAAGCCACGGCUAACUACGUG